rnacentral:rRNA from 1 species
GACGAACGCUGGCGGCGUGCUUAACACAUGCAAGUCGAACGGAAAGGCCCUGCUUUUGUGGGGUGCUCGAGUGGCGAACGGGUGAGUAACACGUGAGUAACCUGCCCUUGACUUUGGGAUAACUUCAGGAAACUGGGGCUAAUACCGGAUAGGAGCUCCUGCUGCAUGGUGGGGGUUGGAAAGUUUCGGCGGUUGGGGAUGGACUCGCGGCUUAUCAGCUUGUUGGUGGGGUAGUGGCUUACCAAGGCUUUGACGGGUAGCCGGCCUGAGAGGGUGACCGGCCACAUUGGGAUUGAGAUACGGCCCGGACUCCUACGGGAGGCAGCAGUGGGGAAUAUUGCACAAUGGGCGGAAGCCUGAUGCAGCAACGCCGCGUGCGGGAUGACGGCCUUCGGGUUGUAACCCGCUUUCGCCUGUGACGAAGCGUGAGUGACGGUAAUGGGUAAAGAAGCACCGGCUAACUACGUG